rnacentral:lncRNA from 1 species
UAAAAGAAUUUUCACGUCGACUGUUCUAUUUUCCAUUUUCAUUUUGAAAGUCAAUUAGGUAAAUGGAAAGAUGAAUAGAAGCUAAAAUUAAGCUAGUAAAAUAAACCAUUGAAAUAAAAUAACCGUCACUUGCUUUAACAACCCCUGCAAUGAAGUUUAUCUACUAAACUUACCCUAUGUCGCCCAAACCCUAAAUUGAAAAAAACAAUUAGAACUAGGUAUAUGAAUUUUGCUGCCAAAAUAUUAAAUUAUAUAAUUUAUCAAACCGACCGUGAAAAAAUAAAUUUUAGUGCGCCCAUGACAUGCCAAGCUCAAACAGCAAUGCUCAAUGACAUCUGAAUUUGACAAGUCAGUUAAAUUCAGAUGUCAAUGUCAACCCAAUAAAACAAUAAUAUAAUUCACCUUGAGAAAUUAUUAUUAUUUUUUAACUAAUAUUUAUUGGAAAACUUCAACACAAAUUAUUUGCUAAAUAAAACUGAUGAAAAUCUCAUAACUUCAUUCAAGUUCGCAUAUAUUUUGCCUGUGUGGCCUUUGUUUUGUGUACCUAGAAUUAUUACAAGGAGAAGAAUUGCAUGUUUUAACUGCUGAUUAGACUACACAACCAGAAAUAAAUAAGCUAAAUGAAGUAUGUUAGGAUACCCCAGAGAUCAUGAAAUGUGUUUGAUAGGGCUCAGACCAUGCACUUAAGGACAUCCGUCAAGAAAUCAUUGAGAUUCUACCAUAUUGAUGAAAUUGGGAAACCAGGAAGAACUGCCUGUCUUUACUGUUGGUUAGAGUACACAGACAGAAAUAAAUAAGCUACAGGAAGUAUGUUAGGAUUCCCCAGAGAUCAUGGAACAUGUUUGAAGGGAUAUGAAUCAGCUUUUUUGUUAUCUUGAAUAGGCAAAAUGGCACGAGAAUCUUCCAACUGGACCCAAAGUCUCUAUUUUUGGUUAGAAAAUAAAACUUAUUUAAUGUUUAUGUUCCAUGACCUGUUUAUUGUUUUAUUAAAUUUUGUCAUACAGUUAUUUAGUUUUAAUAAUUAAAGAGAAAGUUGU